CACGUUCUUAAGGCGAGCAAUGCUUGCGGAUGAACAAGCUUUGGCCUCGUCAUAUUUCUUCUGAUCAAUCAGGUAAAUCAGAACAAGUAAGUAGCAGUACAUCUCAAUCUCUGGCAGAGGAUUCUUAGCCGAAGGAGCUUGAGCAGCGGAGGUCGCUGUAUCAACAUCCAUCUCAUGCUCAUCUUCCUUGGGGAGGUACGAGGCGAUCCGG
rnacentral:misc_RNA from 1 species